rnacentral:rRNA from 1 species
AGCAUCGCCCGAAUUAUCGUGGGCUACACGGCGGCUAACAAGUGGGUGGACAAGUGGUACCGACACCGAAAGGUGAAGGCAAUCUCCUAAACCCAUCCGUAGUUCGGAUUGUGGGCUGCAACUCGCCCACAUGAAGCUGGAAUCUGUAGUAAUCGUGUCUCAAAAUGGCACGGUGAAUAUGUCCCUGCUCCUU